AAUCAUGACUCAGGAUGAACGCUAGCUACAGGCUUAACACAUGCAAGUCGAGGGGCAGCAUUUUAGUUUGCUUGCAAACUGAAGAUGGCGACCGGCGCACGGGUGAGUAACACGUAUCCAACCUGCCGAUAACUCCGGAAUAGCCUUUCGAAAGAAAGAUUAAUACCGGAUGGCAUACGAAUAUCGCAUGAUAUUUUUAUUAAAGAAUUUCGGUUAUCGAUGGGGAUGCGUUCCAUUAGUUUGUUGG
rnacentral:rRNA from 1 species